rnacentral:rRNA from 1 species
UACGUAGGAGACGAGCGUUGUCCGGAGUUACUGGGCGUAAAGGGUGCGCAGGCGGUUCGUUUGGUGGGUGGUGAAAUCUCCUGGCUCAACUGGGAGGGGGCCAUCCAAACGGGCGAACUUGAGGCGUGGAGAGGGACGUGGAAUUCCGGGUGGAGCGGUGAAAUGCGUAGAGAUCCGGAGGAACACCGACGGCGAAGGCAGCGUCCUGGCCACGACCUGACGCUCAGGCACGAAAGCUGGGGGAGCAAACAGG